AACGCGAAGAACCUUACCGGGGCUUGACAUCGGAGGAACAUCUAAGAAAUUAGGUUUCGGAGCAAUCCGACUUCCAGACAGGUGCUGCAUGGCUGUCGUCAGCUCGUGCCGUGAGGUGUUGGGUUAAGUCCCGCAACGAGCGCAACCCUCGUCGUGUGUUGGUCCGCAAGGAUCUCUCACGCGAGACCGCCGGUGAGAAGCCGGAGGAAGGUGGGGAUGACGUCAAGUCAGCAUGGCCCUUACGUCCCGGGCUACACACGUGCUACAAUGGGUAGGACAACGAGUCGCUAGCUAGUGAUAGUCUGCUAAUCUCUUAAACCUACCCUCAGUUCGGAUUGAAGGCUGCAACUCGCCUUCAUGAAGUCGGAAUCGCUAGUAAACGCGGAUCAGCUACGCCGCGUUGAAUACGUUCCCGGGCCUUGUA
rnacentral:rRNA from 1 species